AAAACAAAAACAACAAAACAACAACAACAUCCCUAACAGCAGUUUGUUUUACCUAAAUUAUUGUGACAUAAAAUCAAAAUAAUUUAAAACUUUUCAUAUCUUUAUAUUUCUAAAUUUUUUUGUACUUUUAAAAAAUAUCUUUUCAGUUCAGCUAAAUAUAUUUCCUUUGCAAUGCUAAGGAAAAGUGUGAUUCAUGAACUGUUUAUUUAGACUGGACUAUAAAGAUGACAAUGAUCAAAAGUUCAUAAUGUACUUCAGUUGUAUUAAGAAUCCCCUCCCCCAUAUAGAAACUGUUGGAAAACGGCCUUGUCAGCUACAUGCUUAAUAUGACCCAUGAGUUCAUUACUUUCUGAAGAUUUUCUUGAUGAUCCUUUUUCAUUUAGUUUCUUUAUCCCCGUUAGAGAUCUUAAUCUUUGGAUGACCAGUUUUAUUAUUUCUAUAUGUUUUAGAACUAUUCUAGUUUGGGGUGAGGCAUUUUGAAGGGUGUAUGACUUUGCAAUAUCUUAACCAGCUGUAGAAAUAUAUACAUGGGAAACUGAGGCAAGAGAAUCCUAAGAUUGAAACUUGUCUUGGCUCCAGAGUGAAUUCAAGACCAGAAUGAGCAGUCUACUUUUUAAUAUACCUAAUCUC
rnacentral:lncRNA from 1 species